GGUUGACCUCGGAUCAUGUAGGGAUACCCGCUGAACUUAAGCAUAUCAAUAAGCGGAGGAAAANNNNNNNNNNNNNNNNNCCUCAGUAACGGCGAGUGAAGCGGCAACAGCUCAAAUUUGAAAUNUGGCNCCCUUGGGGGUCCGAGUUGUAAUUUGUAGAGGAUGCUUCGGGCAAGGCCGCGGUCUAAUUCGCUUGGAACAGCGGGUCACAGAGGGUGAGAAUCCCGUCUAGGACCGUGCGCCGCGUCCGUGUGAAGCUCCUUCGACGAGUCGAGUUGUUUGGGAAUGCAGCUCUAAAUGGGUGGUAAAUUUCAUCUAAAGCUAAAUAUUGGCCAGAGACCGAUAGCGCACAAGUAGAGUGAUCGAAAGAUGAAAAGCACUUUGAAAAGAGAGUUAAACAGUAUGUGAAAUUGUUGAAAGGGAAGCGCUUGCAACCAGACUUGCGUGUGACGGUUCCCCCCACCUUCUGGUGGGGCUACUCCGUCAUCUCCAGGCCAGCAUCGGUUUGGGUGGUCGGUUAAAGACCCCGGGAAUGUAUCUACCUUCGGGUCGACUUAUAGCCCGGGGUGCAAUGCGACCCACCCGGACCGAGGAACGCGCUUCGGCCCGGAUGCUGGCGUAAUGGUUGUCAGCGGCCCGUCUUGAAACACGGACCAAGGAGUCUAACAUCUAUGCGAGUGUUUGGGUGUCAAACCCCUACGCGUAAUGAAAGUGAACGGAGGUGAGAACCCCGCCAGGGGCGCAUCAUCGACCGAUCCUGAUGUCUUCGGAUGGAUUUGAGUAAGAGCAUAGCUGUUGGGACCCGAAAGAUGGUGAACUAUGCCUGAAUAGGGUGAAGCCAGAGGAAACUCUGGUGGAGGCUCGCAGCGGUUCUGACGUGCAAAUCGAUCGUCAAAUUUGGGCAUAGGGGCGAAAGACCAAUCGAACCAUCCUGAUGGCAUCCUGUAAAGAAGCAGAUGUGUGAGGUUGCCAGGUGGUUAAUUUCCCAACUUUCAGUUGGGUCAGUCUGAUACCUUGGUAUUGGGCGACGUCGUCAGUCUUCGGGGAUGUCCUUACGGCUAUCCGAAGCCGUCCCUACGUCGGGACGGUUCACAGACUAGACAGUGACGGCCGGAGCCUUUUGACCGGCGACGGUGAUUAUAUAGUCGAGUAAAGUUAAUGGAUCUCGCGAGUAUUUUAACCAGAACACUCGGUGGACCGUACGUGAUCAUGUGUGUCUUAUUAGGCUUGUUUGUCUGUGAUUAUGUACGCCUUAUU
rnacentral:rRNA from 1 species